GUCCACCGCCACCAACACCUAGU
rnacentral:siRNA from 1 species